CCCAAAACCCGUUCAAGCCCAAACUUUACCAAGCGCCUUCGUCUCCAUCGCCAAACGAUUCCUCUUCCCCUCUUCCUCUCUUCAUCACCAAAAUAUUCACUGCCUUUGUCUUCACGGAGCCUAGAACGCUCGUGAGGUGGGCUGCUCGCGAGGCGGGCUUCUUGCAGCGGCCGUUCGCUGCUCAACCUGGAGUAGCGAUAGGGGAGGAAGAGAAGCGUAUCCUGGCCACGGUGACCUACCGAUCCAGCAUGGGCCCUUCCGUCGUAGUUUGUUGCAGGCUCGCAGUUGGGAACACUGAAAUCACUCAUCGAUGAGGAUAAAGGAAGGGGGAAGGACAUGGAUGAUGGCCCUGACGGUGGCGGGCAACUUCGUGCUAUUUUUCUUCUUGAUGCCACUUCUGGCAUCGAUUCCGGCUUGGGCGAUGGGGCUGCCGCUGGUGUUGGGGGCGUGCUGAUGAUGAAGAUGGUAGUGGAGGUGGAAUGGGAGAACAUGAGGGAAGAGCCAUCUCCGCCUUCAUCACCAUCAUUUUGAUACUCCUCACCUACUCAAUUACGUACGACAUCAUCGGUGGCAUUGCCACCUACAUCGUCCUCCGCCUUUGCGAAUACAUCUGCUCUGUUCUCAUCAAGAGCUUCCAUCUUCUCCGCAAUAGCUUUGCUUUAUUACCUUGUUCGAUCAAUGUGGAUGGUUGAGACCAAAGAUGGUUAUCUUUUGUCCAUUCAACAUGUUCAUCAUGGGAAAAAUACUUUGAAAGAAAGACAUGACCCUCCGGUUUUCCUCCAACAUGGUCUUUUCAGGACUCUGAUUCUAGACGAGCGUCUCGACGUUGGAUUUGGCUUGAUUAAAUCUUCUAUUUGAGAUAAAGGAAAAGCUAAAGUAUGAAAGGAAGGCGACAAGGUGGUGGUGGUGAUG